GUUCACUUUGGAAGGAUAUAUACUAAAGUUAGAACAAUGUAGACAAGCAGAGCAUAGCCCCUGCACAAAGAUGACACAAAAAUUUAUGAAGCUCUCCAUAAUUGU
rfam:Otolemur garnettii contig100562, whole genome shotgun sequence.